UACGAAGGCAGCAGUGGGGAAUAUUGCACAAUGGGCGAAAGCCUGAUGCAGCUAUGCCGCGUGUAUGAAGAAGGCCUUAGGGUUGUAAAGUACUUUCAUCGGGGAGGAAAAACAAAACUAAUAAUUUUAUUUCUUGACGUUACCCGAAAAAGAAGCACCGGCUAACUCCGUGCCAGCAGCCGCGGUAAUACGGAGGGUGCUAGCGUUAAUCAGAAUUACUGGGCGUAAAGAGCACGUAGGUGGUUUUUUUAAGUCAGAUGUGAAAUCCCUGGGCUUAACCUAGGAACUGCAUUUUGAAACUGAAAUACUAGAGUAUCGUAGAGGGAGGUAGAAUUCUAGGUGUAGCGGUGAAAUGCGUAGAUAUCUGGAGGAAUACCUGUGGCGAAAGCGGCCUCCUAAACGAAUACUGACACUGAGGUGCGAAAGCGUGGGGAGCAAACAGGGAUUAGAUACC
rnacentral:rRNA from 1 species